rnacentral:rRNA from 1 species
AUACGAAGGUCCCAAGCGUUAUUCGGAAUCACUGGGCGUAAAGAGUACGUCGGCGGUUUGGUAAGUCAGGUGUGAAAUCCCGGAGCUCAACUCCGGAACUGCAUCCGAUACUGCAAGACUAGAGUAAUGGAGAGGCAGGUGGAAUUCUCGGUGUAGCAGUGAAAUGCGUGGAUAUCGAGAGGAAGACCAAUGGCGAAGGCAGCCUGCUGGACAUUUACUGACGCUGAGAUACGAAGGCUAGGGGAGCGAAAGGGAUUAGAAACCCCAGUAGUCC